UCCCUUGUAGCUCAGUCGGUAAAGAAUUUGCCUGCAGUGCAGGAGACCCAGGUUCGAUCCCUGGGUUGGGAA
rnacentral:tRNA from 1 species